rnacentral:rRNA from 1 species
CCCUUGGCCUUGACAUACUAAGAACUUUCCAGAGAUGGAUUGGUGCCUUUCGGGAACUUAGAUACAGGUGCUGCAUGGCUGUCGUCAGCUCGUGUCGUGAGAUGUUGGGUUAAGUCCGCAACGAGCGCAACCCUUUUUCCUUAUUUGCCAGCGGGUAAUGCCGGGAACUUUAAGGAUACUGCCAGUGACAAACUGGAGGAAGGCGGGGACGACGUCAAGUCAUCAUGGCCCUUACGGCCAGGGCUACACACGUGCUACAAUGGUCGGUACAAAGGGUUGCUACCUCGCGAGAGGAUGCUAAUCUCAAAAAGCCGAUCGUAGUCCGGAUCGCAGUCUGCAACUCGACUGCGUGAAGUCGGAAUCGCUAGUAAUCGCGGAUCAGAAUGCCGCGGUGAAUACGUUCCCGGGCCUUGUACACACCGCCCGUCACACCAUGGGAGUUUGUUGCACCAGAAGUAGGUAGUCUAACCGCAAGGAGGACGCUUACCACGGUGUGGCCGAUGACUGGGGUGAAGUCGUAACAAGGUAAGCGUAGAUGA